AGCUUGCUCCGCCCCGACGACGAGUGGCGAACGGGUGAGUAAUACAUCGGAACGUGUCCGCUCGUGGGGGACAACCAGCCGAAAGGUUGGCUAAUACCGCAUGAGUUCUACGGAAGAAAGAGGGGGACCCGCAAGGGCCUCUCGCGAGCGGAGCGGCCGAUGACUGAUUAGCCAGUUGGUGAGGUAACGGCUCACCAAAGCAACGAUCAGUAGCUGGUCUGAGAGGACGACCAGCCACACUGGGACUGAGACACGGCCCAGACUCCUACGGGAGGCAGCAGUGGGGAAUUUUGGACAAUGGGCGCAAGCCUGAUCCAGCUAUUCCGCGUGUGGGAUGAAGGCCCUCGGGUUGUAAACCACUUUUGUAGAGAACGAAAAGACACCAUCGAAUAAAUGGUGUUGCUGACGGUACUCUAAGAAUAGGCACCGGCUAACUACGUGCCAGCAGCCGCGGUAAUACGUAGGGUGCGAGCGUUAAUCGGAAUUACUGGGCGUAAAGGGUGCGCAGGCGGUUGAGUAAGACAGAUGUGAAAUCCCCGAGCUUAACUCGGGAAUGGCAUAUGUGACUGCUCGACUAGAGUGUGUCAGAGGGAGGUGGAAUUCCACGUGUAGCAGUGAAAUGCGUAGAUAUGUGGAAGAACACCGAUGGCGAAGGCAGCCUCCUGGGACAUAACUGACGCUCAGGCACGAAAGCGUGGGGAGCAA
rnacentral:rRNA from 1 species